CCCUGGCAGUCCAGUGGUUAGGACUCAGUGAUUUCACUGCUGGGGUCUGGGUUCAAACCCUGGUCAGGGA
rnacentral:tRNA from 1 species